AUCGUUUCUUGGCCUUUUGGCUAAGAUCAAGUGUAGUAUCUGUUCUUAUCAGUUUAAAAAGCAAAAGACCUGGGGUCAAAGUGUAAUGGUUGCAGUGCUGCCAUGCACAAAUGUGACAGGUCCCCUGUGUUAAAGUCAGGGUUCUGAUAGAGCAGUGUAACCUGAAAUGAGAAUACCU
ensembl:snRNA U2 U2 spliceosomal RNA